UACAGAGGGGGCAAGCGUUGUUCGGAAUUACUGGGCGUAAAGGGCGCGUAGGCGGCCUUCUAAGUCGGAUGUGAAAUCCCCGGGCUCAACCCGGGAACUGCGUCCGAGACUGAAAGGCUUGAAUCCGGGAGAGGGAUGUGGAAUUCCAGGUGUAGCGGUGAAAUGCGUAGAUAUCUGGAGGAACAUCGGUGGCGAAGGCGGCAUCCUGGACCGGUAUUGACGCUGAGGCGCGAAAGCCAGGGGAGCAAACGGG
rnacentral:rRNA from 1 species